CUCCUGGAUUAGCGGCGGACGGGUGAGUAAUGCCUAGGAAUCUGCCUGGUAGUGGGGGACAACGUUUCGAAAGGAACGCUAAUACCGCAUACGUCCUACGGGAGAAAGCAGGGGACCUUCGGGCCUUGCGCUAUCAGAUGAGCCUAGGUCGGAUUAGCUAGUUGGUGAGGUAAUGGCUCACCAAGGCGACGAUCCGUAACUGGUCUGAGAGGAUGAUCAGUCACACUGGAACUGAGACACGGUCCAGACUCCUACGGGAGGCAGCAGUGGGGAAUAUUGGACAAUGGGCGAAAGCCUGAUCCAGCCAUGCCGCGUGUGUGAAGAAGGUCUUCGGAUUGUAAAGCACUUUAAGUUGGGAGGAAGGGUUGUAGAUUAAUACUCUGCAAUUUUGACGUUACCGACAGAAUAAGCACCGGCUAACUCUGUGCCAGCAGCCGCGGUAAUACAGAGGGUGCAAGCGUUAAUCGGAAUUACUGGGCGUAAAGCGCGCGUAGGUGGUUUGUUAAGUUGGAUGUGAAAUCCCCGGGCUCAACCUGGGAACUGCAUCCAAAACUGGCAAGCUAGAGUAUGGUAGAGGGUGGUGGAAUUUCCUGUGUAGCGGUGAAAUGCGUAGAUAUAGGAAGGAACACCAGUGGCGAAGGCGACCACCUGGACUGAUACUGACACUGAGGUGCGAAAGCGUGGGGAGCA
rnacentral:rRNA from 1 species